AGUGAACGCUGGCGGUAGGCCUAACACAUGCAAGUCGAACGGCAGCACAGUAAGAGCUUGCUCUUACGGGUGGCGAGUGGCGGACGGGUGAGGAAUACAUCGGAAUCUACUUUUUCGUGGGGGAUAACGUAGGGAAACUUACGCUAAUACCGCAUACGACCUACGGGUGAAAGCAGGGGAUCUUCGGACCUUGCGCGAUUGAAUGAGCCGAUGUCGGAUUAGCUAGUUGGCGGGGUAAAGGCCCACCAAGGCGACGAUCCGUAGCUGGUCUGAGAGGAUGAUCAGCCACACUGGAACUGAGACACGGUCCAGACUCCUACGGGAGGCAGCAGUGGGGAAUAUUGGACAAUGGGCGCAAGCCUGAUCCAGCCAUACCGCGUGGGUGAAGAAGGCCCUCGGGUUGUAAAGCCCUUUUGUUGGGAAAGAAAAGCAGCAGGUUAAUACCCCGCUGCUCUGACGGUACCCAAAGAAUAAGCACCGGCUAACUUCGUG
rnacentral:rRNA from 1 species